rnacentral:rRNA from 1 species
CCCAGACUCCUACGGGAGGCAGCAGUGAGGAAUAUUGGUCAAUGGGCGGGAGCCUGAACCAGCCAAGUCGCGUGAGGGACGACGGUCCUAUGGAUUGUAAACCUCUUUUGUCGGGGAACAAAGGCGCCCACGGGUGGGCGGAUGAGUGUACCCGAAGAAAAAGCAUCGGCUAACUCCGUGCCAGCAGCCGCGGUAAUACGGGGGGUGCAAGCGUUGUCCGGAAUCAUUGGGCGUAAAGCGUUCGUAGGCGGUAUGUCAAGUCUGAUGUUAAAGCCCGGGGCUCAACUCCGGGUCGGCAUUGGAUACUGGCAAACUAGAAUGUGGUAGAGGUAAAGGGAAUUCCUGGUGUAGCGGUGAAAUGCGUAGAUAUCAGGGGGAACAUCGGUGGCGAAAGCGCUUUACUGGACCAUUAUUGACGCUGAGGAACGAAAGCCAGGGGAGCAAAUGGGAUUAGAUACCCCUGUAA